GAGGGUAUAGCUCAGUGAUAGAGCACAUGCUUAGCAUGCAUGAGGUCCUGGGUUUAAUUCCCAUUACCGCCA
rnacentral:tRNA from 1 species